rnacentral:rRNA from 1 species
AGAGAUUGAACAUAAGAGUUUGAUCCUGGCUCAGAUUGAACGCUGGCGGCAUGCUUUACACAUGCAAGUCGGACGGCAGCACAGAGAAGCUUGCUUCUUGGGUGGCGAGUGGCGAACGGGUGAGUAACGCAUCGGAACGUACCGAGUAAUGGGGGAUAACUGUCCGAAAGGACAGCUAAUACCGCAUACGCCCUGAGGGGGAAAGCGGGGGAUCUUAGGACCUCGCGUUAUUCGAGCGGCCGAUGUCUGAUUAGCUGGUUGGCGGGGUAAAGGCCCACCAAGGCGACGAUCAGUAGCGGGUCUGAGAGGAUGAUCCGCCACACUGGGACUGAGACACG